rnacentral:lncRNA from 1 species
CAGCUAUGUCCCCCUCAACACAUCAAAAACCCAGGUGCUGAUGGAAGUCAGAGAGUAGCUCCCAAGGCCAGAAAGGAUGCGCACACACUUCGAGAAGAGCAAUCCUAAUAAGUUUUGCCUCUACCAUCGUGACCAUAGCCACGACACGGAGGAAUGCAUUCAGCUCCAAGACGAGAUCGAGGAGCUCAUCAGACGAGGUCGGCUCGACAGGUUCAUUCGACGCCGGCUUGAGGGUAGAGAGGAUCGACCAAGGGCCCUACCGCAGCCUGAGCCACCG